CCUACGGGAGGCAGCAGUGGGGGAUAUUGCACAAUGGGGGAAACCCUGAUGCAGCGACGCCGCGUGUGGGAAGACGGUCUUCUGGAUUGUAAACCACUGUCCCCAGGGACGAAAAUGACGGUACCUGGGGAGGAAGCUCCGGCUAACUACGUGCCAGCAGCCGCGGUAAUACGUAGGGAGCAAGCGUUGUCCGGAAUUACUGGGUGUAAAGGGAGCGUAGGCGGGGAUGCAAGUUGGGUGUCCAAACUACCGGCGCAACCGAUAGUCGCACUCAAAACUGCAGCUCUUGUGUGAAGUAGAGGCAG
rnacentral:rRNA from 1 species